AUUGAACGCUGGCGGCAGGCCUAACACAUGCAAGUCGAGCGAGCGGCGGACGGGUGAGUAAUGUCUGGGAAACUGCCUGAUGGAGGGGGAUAACUACUGGAAACGGUAGCUAAUACCGCAUACCAUCAGAUGUGCCCAGAUGGGAUUAGCUUGUAGGUGGGGUAAUGGCUCACCUAGGCGACGAUCCCUAGCUGGUCUGAGAGGAUGACCAGCCACACUGGAACUUAUACACGGGCCAGACUCCUACGCGAGGCAGCAGUGGGGAAUAUUGCACAAUGGCAGCAAGCCUGAUGCAGCCAUGCCGCGUGGAUGAAGAAGGCCUUCGGGUUGUAAAGUACUUUCAGCGGGGAGGCGUUACCCGCAGAAGAAGCACCGGCUAACUCCGUGCCAGCAGCCGCGGUAAUGC
rnacentral:rRNA from 1 species